rnacentral:lncRNA from 1 species
GCCCACCUGUAAAGUCGGAUGGCCUAAGGAGGGGACUUUCCAUCUCCCCGUCAUUUACAAGGAUGGUCAGCCUCGGCCCCCUGCCUUGCUUCCUCUUUCAACUUCCAAGAAGUCCCUGUUCCUGUUUCUGCUGCCCCUGCUGCUGCUACCUCUGCCUAGCCAGCACAGGCAGAAGAGGGAAGAGCAGCCCCUGACUCUUCUGACUUCACUUGGAGUCCACCUCACACUCUGGCCCCAAUUGCCUAGAUAGUGAGCCGACUCUACCAUGGUCUUACUUCUCCAGUAAGUACGGGACCCCCAGAUGCUCAGGGAAGACAGUUCAUGUCAUAUGUGUUAUUUGCCAGUAAUGAUCUUUACAGCCAGAAGUUACAGAACCCCCCCAUUUUUAGAAAGACCAUCAGCUCUCACGGGUCUUCUAGUUUCAAUCAUGCUGACUGACUUACCUACCCUGG